CAGGAUCCCCAUAGUAAUGGCGAAUGAACCGGGAUAAACUCAGCAUGGAAAUUGGGGCCUUUGGCUUUGACUUGUAAUCUGGUGAGGCAUUGCCAACAGAGGCGCAUAUGUAAGUCUCUUGGAAAAGAGCAUCAACGAAGGUGAGAGUCCUGAUUGUCAUGUGCAGCCCCCCUGUGCACGGUGUGCCUUCUAAGAGUCACGUUCCUUGGGAUUGGAGCGCAAAUUGGGUGGUAACUUUCAUCUGAAGUUAAACAAUGGUUUGGGACCGAUAGGAAACAAGUACCAUGAGGGAAAGGUGAAAAGGACUUUGGAAAGAGAGUUAAAAGUGCCUGAAAUUGCUGAAGGGGAAGCGAAUGGAACCAGUAGUGCUGGGUGAGAUUGUCACAUGCCACAAGGAUUGGUUGCUGCCACAACGCAAGUGUGAUGGCGAUGUGUGAAUUGCUAGUGUGUGGUGUGUCUUACCUAGUGGGUCAUUGUGGGUUUAUGCAUUAAGAUAAGUCAAAGCAAGCGGGAGCAAGUUUACGAGUUUGUGAAUGUGUGUUGUUAUGCUUGUGCGUAAGCUUUAGUGUUUGUCUGGCUGCAGGGCUGUCCAUCCUCAAGCAGGACUUGUGGUUGCGAUGAGCAUAACCUUCUGCACAGAUAUUGACGAAAUC
rnacentral:rRNA from 1 species